rnacentral:misc_RNA from 1 species
GAUGAAGAACGUAGCGAAAUGCGAUACUUGGUGUGAAUUGCAGAAUCCCGUGAACCAUCGAGUCUUUGAACGCAAGUUGCGCCCGAAGCCAUCAGGUUGAGGGCACGUCUGCCUGGGCGUCACAUAUCGUUGCCCAAUGCCUAUUGCAGUGCAAUAGGAAUUUCUAGGGCGAAAGAUGGCUUCCCGUGAGCGUUGUUGCCUCGCGGUUGGUUGAAAAUUGAGUCCUUGGUAGGGUGUGCCAUGAUAGAUGGUGGUCGAGUUUGCACGAGACCGAUCAUGUGUGCGCUCCCCAAAAUAUGGACUCUUUGACCCCACACGCGUCUUUUGACGCUCAUGACGAGACCUCAGGUCAGGCGGGGCUACCCGCUGAGUUUAAGCAUAUCAAUAAGCGGAGGA